CCUACGGGAGACUGCAGUAGGGAAUCUUCCACAAUGGGCGAAAGCCUGAUGGAGCAACGCCGCGUGGGUGAAGAAGGUCUUCGGAUCGUAAAACCCUGUUGUUAGAGAAGAAAGUUCGUGAGAGUAACUGUUCACGUUUCGACGGUAUCUAACCAGACAGCCACGGCUAACUACGUGCCAGCAGCCGCGGUAAUACGUAGGUGGCAAGCGUUAUCCGGAUUUAUUGGGCGUAAAGGGAACGCAGGCGGUCUUUUAAGUCUGAUGUGAAAGCCUUCGGCUUAACCGGAGUAGUGCAUUGGAAACUGGGAGACUGGAGUGCAGAAGAGGAGAGUGGAACGCCAUGUGUAGCGGUGAAAUGCGUAGAUAUAUGGAAGAACACCAGUGGCGAAAGCGGCUCUCUGGUCUGUAACUGACGCUGAGGUUCGAAAGCGUGGGUAGCAAACAGGAUUAGAUACCCGAGUAGUC
rnacentral:rRNA from 1 species